GCAAGAUGCAACACAGAAGGUCUGGCUUCGUGUUCUGGCUUAGUGUCACCCACCAGCAUUUUUCCUUUUUGGAGAGACUACGCACUGAGUCUGCGUGUUAGGAAGUGUUUCUUGCACGGACCUGUGAGAGACUCAGACCAGCCGAUUCGCAGAGAGAAUUUGCAGCAGGUUUCAGCGCUGUGUGGAGCCAAAGUGUGACUGUUUUGCUCCUGUUAACAGCCAGAUGCUGACCAGAAGAGAUCCACUGACUGCACUGAAAUGUCUACGGUGGGAGCAGAGAGUUCUUCGUCUGGCCCUUAAAAAUAAGGGUGAACUUGUGUUAUUCACAGAGAGACACAGCUGCAGACCAGGACACUGGUAGUAAUAUAUUAGGGUUGUGUUCAGAUUCUUCUGUGGAUAUUGAGUAAUAUUUUAGCCAGCAAGACCCUUUGAAACCAACAGGAAUCAUUUUGAAUAAGCAAGAGUCGUGAUGGAACCCUGAUCCUUGGAGACACUAAAAAAAUGGACUGGAAUCAUCCACUUGGGCAACCUGAUCCAAGCUGGCCCUUCUCUGGUUGGGUCAGAUAACGUCCAAAGGUCUCUUGUCAAAUUAUUCUGUGAUUCUAGGGUGAAUAAAAGGCAGUAAGAUUGGGUCCUGCAGUACUUAUGGACAGACGUUUUAAAUACUCAGAGACUCUAUGUAGAUUACACAGCCUCUGUG